AGAGUGGGCUGAGUGAUCGCUGUUGUUUUCGCGCGAGCGCGAAGAGAGCAGAGGAAAGUCCGGGCUCCGUAGAACACGGUGGUGGGUAACGCCCACCGUCCGCGAGGACCGGGAAAGUGCAACAGAAAGUAAACCGCCGAUGAGCGGUCAGGAGUUAGGAUUCAGGAUUUAGGGUGUCGGAAUAGGUCUCGGUCGAGUUGUCGAUGAACUCAAGGAAGUGAAGUCGUGCGUCUGAUCUUCACGAGGACGACAAGUGUUGAGAACACAAGAGAUACCAGGUUGCUCGAACCGCAAGACAUUCCAGGCUCAACAGAGCACUGAAUCCCAAAUCCUAACUCCUGCCGCAACAGGUAAGGGUGAAACGGUGCGGUAAGAGCGCACCGCAGGGCUGGUGACAGUCCUGGCAUGGUAAACCCCACCGGGAGCAAGACCAAGCAGGGCGAAGUGUGUUGCGGCAACGUGAUGCACACGUAGCUGUUCGCUGCGUUAGACGUCCGGGUCGGUCGCGUCGAGGUGCUUGAGCAAUCAGCACCCCAGAGAAAUGAUCACUCCCGACAGAACCCGGCUUACAGGCCCACUCUGGAU
rnacentral:RNase_P_RNA from 1 species